GAAGUGCAAUGGGCACCAUGUUGGACAUCUAAUCCAAAGGUCGUAAGUUCGAAUCCUACCUGUAAUG